UACAGAGGUGCCGAGCGUUAGGCGGAAUCACUGGGCUUAAAGCGUGUGUAGGCGGAUGCCUAAGUACCUUGUGAAAUCCCCCGGCUUAACCGGGGAACUGCUUGGUAUACUGGGUGUCUUGAGCCACUUAGGGGCGACCGGAACAAACGGUGGAGCGGUGAAAUGCGUAGAUAUCGUUUGGAACGCCAAUGGUGAAACAGGUCGACUGGGAGUGUGCUGACGCUGAGACACGAAAGCCAGGGAGCGAACGGG
rnacentral:rRNA from 1 species